AGCGAACGCUGGCGGCAGGCUUAACACAUGCAAGUCGAACGGGCUUCUUCGGAAGUCAGUGGCAGACGGGUGCGUAACACGUGGGAACGUGCCCUUCGGUUCGGAAUAACUCAGGGUAACUUGAGCUAAUACCGGAUACGCCCUUUUGGGGAAAGGUUUACUGCCGAAGGAUCGGACCGCGUCUGAUUAGCUUGUUGGUGGGGUAACGGCCUACCAAGGCGACGAUCAGUAGCUGGUCUGAGAGGAUGAUCAGCCACACUGGGACUGAGACACGGCCCAGACUCCUACGGGAGGCAGCAGUGGGGAAUAGUGGACAAUGGGCGCAAGCCUGAUCCAGCCAUGCCGCGUGAGUGAUGAAGGCCGUAGGGUUGUAAAGCUCUUUUGUCCGGGACGAUAAUGACGGUACCGGAAGAAUAAGCCCCGGCUAACUUCGUG
rnacentral:rRNA from 1 species